rnacentral:rRNA from 1 species
CCUACGGGAGGCAGCAGUGGGGAAUCUUGCACAAUGGGCGAAAGCCUGAUGCAGCAACGCCGCGUGAAGGAAGGAGGCUUUCGGGUUGUAAACUUCUUUUGACGGGGAAGCGCAGAAGACGGUUCGUACCGCAUAAGCCACGGCUAACUACCUGCCAGCAGCCACGGUAAUACCUAGGUGGCAAGCGUUGUCCGGAUGGACUGGCUGUAAAGGGCGGGUAGGCGGGCUGAUAAGUCAGAUGUGAAAUCAGGGGGCUCAACCCGCGAACUGACUUUGAUUCUGUUGGUCUUGAGUAUUGGAGAGGCAGGCGGAAUUCCUAGUGUAGCGGUGAAAUGCGUAGAUAUUGGGAGGAACACCAGUGGCGAAGGCGGCUUGCUGGACGAUAACUGACGGUGAGGCGCGAAGGCGUGGGGAGCAAACAGGAUUAGAUACCCGUGUAGUC